AGAGUUUGAUCCUGGCUCAGAACGAACGCUGGCGGCGCGUUUUAAGCAUGCAAGUCGAGCGGCAAGGGCCUUCGGGCCCCUAGAGCGGCGGACGGGUGAGUAACACGUGGACAAUCUGCCCCCCGGCCCGGGAUAGCCCAGGGAAACCUGGAUUAAUACCGGAUGAGACGGGACCCGCGAAGGCGGGACCCGGGAAAGGCGCUGCGGCGCCGGCGGGGGAUGAGUCUGCGUCCCAUUAGCUAGACGGCGGGGUAACGGCCCACCGUGGCGACGAUGGGUAGCCGGCCUGAGAGGGUGGACGGCCACAUUGGAACUGAGACACGGUCCAGACUCCUACGGGAGGCAGCAGCUAAGAAUCUUCCGCAAUGGGCGAAAGCCUGACGGAGCGACGCCGCGUGAACGAAGAAGGCCGUGAGGUUGUAAAGUUCUUUUCGGGAGGGGGAACAACCGUGGCAGGGAAUGGCCGCGGGAUGACGUGAAUCCCGGAAUAAGCCCUGGCUAACUACGUGCCAGCAGCCGCGGUAACACGUAGGGGGCGAGCGUUGUUCGGAAUCAUUGGGCGUAAAGGGCGUGCAGGCGGUCCUGCAAGUCCGGCGUGAAAGACCCCGGCCCAACCGGGGGGGCGCGCUGGAAACUGGAGGGCUUGAGUACAGGAGGGGAUGCCGGAAUUCCAGGUGUAGGGGUGAAAUCUGUAGAUAUCUGGAAGAACACCAAUGGCGAAGGCAGGCAUCUGGCCAUGUACUGACGCUGAGACGCGAAGGUGCGGGGAGCAAACAGGUUUAGAUACCCUGGUAGUCCGCACAGUAAACGAUGUGCACCAGGUGGCGGGGGGUCGACCCCCGGUACCGUAGCUAACGCAUUAAGUGCACCGCCUGGGGAGUAUGCUCGCAAGGGUGAAACUCAAAUGAAUUGACGG
rnacentral:rRNA from 1 species